rnacentral:tRNA from 1 species
GCCGAGAUCGCGUAAUCUGGUAUCGCGCAAGCCUGGAAAGCUUGUUUCCUUUGGAUAUCUGGGUUCGAAUCCCAGUCUCGGCG